GCUCCACCCUACAGCUGUUACCAGUAAUUGACAGUAUUUUCCGCACCUGACUGCCAUCAGUGUGGGGACUUUAACUACAAAAUGGCAGUUAUGGCGGUUAUGACACCACACGACUGAAGGAGCUGAGAGGAGCUGGUGGCAUCUGAAGAGCCUGGAGACUGUGGCAUCUGCUGCUUGAGCACCUCUGACAAAGGGCCUAAUUUCGCUGGAUGGGUGUUCAGUGCUGAAAUGCCCUUGUGGAAUGAGCUGCUCAAGGAUCAGCCUUUGCUAGAAUCCAGCAUCUGCCUUUGAUACCUCCCAGUGAAAGUUGUGCCCAGACUUCAGAAUAAUGCAUUUGUACUGAAGACUGAAAUACCUAUUAUGGCACCAAUUCUGUGAACCCAAUGCAGCUGAUUUUGCAUAAAAUAAGUUACAUGACGUAACAAACAAGCAUUAUAAGGAUUGUUCAGGAGUCAUCUGACCAGAUGGAAGUCUUACAUGUGUUGAUAAAUCCUCAUUGUCUUGGACACGACACAAGUUAAAAAAUACUUUGUUUUUACGCUACUGUAUUUACAUCCUGCAUUGUGUCACUUCACCCAUUCCCUCAGGUUGUAAAGCUACACAGUGGAUAAACUAAGGCAAGGGGUGAAUGCCAAGGAAAGUGAUUAAUAGCUUAUGUAACUGGGCAUGCUGCUUUCAAUGCCAUCUGUAUGGUCAUUUGUAUGCAGACUUGUGCUUUAAAGGACAAGUCACUUUGUACUUAGUUUUAUACUCUGUUCAUGGUUUCUACUGCACACAUUUCUCAACAGAAAAUUCCAAAAGUUCCUCUUAAAAUUUUUUUCUCCCCCAUUAUUUCCAGUGUCUGCUUUCUAAAGCCAACACACCAAGUAAGCAGUCAUUCCAAGAGCUUCAGCAAGCUCUUGUUGAUCCCUGUUCAAAGCUCUGGUAAGACUGACAAGUAUUAUUGGCAUUUCCCAUUUUCUCUUUUUCUCGUAGUUCUCUCUUCAAGCUUUGUGAACUAGAACAGCAGGUUGCAUUACAAAGGGCUUUUCCUACACGGAUGGUGUAAUGGAUACUGUUAAGCUGACUGAUUGGCAUGCUGGGGAAACAGAUCCAAAUGAGUACCUGAAAUUUGCUUUGGUUGCUUCACGGAAAAUAUUGGUACAGAAAGGGAUGACCUGGCCAACCGGGCCCAGGGGCGACUUGAUGAAUACAGCUGUCAGGUCUUCACACAGUGCAGCAGCUCUGAUUUGGAAGAGGUUAUUCUUGAUGACCACCAUUUGAGUCCCCACAUGACCUGAGCAGAAUAUCAUUCUGAAAGGAAUGGAGUCCUAACCGAAAUAUUUUCCACCUAGUGAUAGUAAAAAAUUUUGGAAAACUUCAAAGAAAACUUUAGCUAUGCCAAUGUCAUUAGCAUGCUGUCGAUUUUACUUCUGACAAGAAUCAGAUGAGAAAACAGUUCAUUACAUGAAAAGAAACUGCAUGCUGGAUAUCACGCAGAAGGCAGUUGGUUAGCAGGAGAAGCUCAAGUUAUUUUAAAGAAUUUUAAAAGUACAGCAUCUUCUUCCCACAAAUUAUACUUUAUCACUCUGAGAAACCCUUCCAAACAACAGUUCUGCAGCACCAGGGAAAAGGGGUCAGCAAGAUUUUGACAUAAUUGCACUGUAAGAAAACAAAGGCAUUUAGCUGUGUAUCAUGUGUAAUUCCUAUGAGAGUGAUUAUGUCCCGGUCGCAGCUUAUUGUUGGGUUGCAGUCACACAGCCCCCAGACUUCCCUCCCUUCCUUGUUACUGCACUGCUCUUGUAUUCUGCAGUGUAGAAUAAUGCAGGGACACAGAAGACUGGUCUUAUUUCCAACUCCACAUGGGGCAGGGAGGGAAGGGGACCAUAAUCCAACUUUUCCUAGAGGCCCAACAGACAAUUCCAUCUUUUUCAAUCUCUCCUUUGACCAAUCUUUCAGUUCAAGGAAUAGUUAAAUCAUAAAAUGUCUCUAUUUGAAAAGUGAAAUGCUCACCAUGACCUAUUUUUGCUUUAUUAAACAGACAGCAGAUACAUUCCUUAACAUUAUGCCAAUGAACUGUAAUGUUUUUUUUUUUCUUAGCAUUCUUUUAUCAUAUUUUAUUAGACAUACAGUGGUUGUUCUUCUCUCCCUCCCCAUAAAGGCAGGAGCGAGGGGAAAGAGCACUACAGGACUACAUGACAAUGGUGUUUGAAACCAAGGGUUUCAUGUGUGAGUGAGAGGGUGGCCACGUCCCUCUACCUGCAGGAGAAGUCACCCUUAGGCAGCCAGGUACUUGUCGGUGCGGGGCCAUUGGGGAUAACAUGGCACCAGAGCCCAGCAGAGAUGACAGUCAGCAUGGACAGGAUGCACGUGCUUUCAAACAUCCCGAUUUAAAAAAUAAACAAGUAAAAUCAAGUGUGCUCUUUGGAAGACCUCUCCAAAAGCUUGCACUGUUGAAGUAUUGUCACAAGCUUCAAUUGUCUUCCCAUGGAGCAGUAUUUCAAUAAAAAUGACUUAUUUUUACUGGCAAGAUUUCCUGUACCAAGUCAUGAAUGUUGCCAAAAGUCUCCAGCUGCUGGUAGUCUGAGCUCUUGCAGUGGUAGAGCUCAACGGCUUAUAGGAAUAAAUGAAGUAUAGCAGAACAUUGCACAUAACACUAUUAAUGAGAUUUGAUGUGAUAGCACAGACUAGCAUGACAUAUGAAAGCCUGGGUAGCAAAGAGGGAAAAAAUCUCAAUGCAACAGUAUGAUUUUGUAAGUACAUCUGUUUUCCUAACUUCUUGAAAAUUGGAUGUUCGUUAGUUCAAGUUAAUUCCAGAAAUACAAAUUGAGUCCCAGUCUCACAGGAAAUCUAGACGCAUUGAUUGCAGAGGUCCAAAUCAGCUAAAGCAGGAUGGAAAAUGAUGCUCACACAUUUAUCUUGAAAUACUAAAUAUAAUUUCAUAAAGAUAUGUGCACCUAGAAAACAAAUUUUCUCACACAACCUGGAUACUGGGCUGGAAUUCAGACUUGAACUAGUUUAAAUUCCAGGGGUGUCUGAAUCUAAUUUCUAUAAUUACACACACUUCCAUGGCUUGCUUCCAAAAAACCCUGAAUUCAGAAGAAGUUGUUUUCCAACUCUAGUUCCUAACAUACAAAGACCAUUUUGAAGCAGGUUUUCUGUGCCCAAAACGCAACUGGCCUAGUCUCAGUUGGAAAUCAAACUGCUCAACCCAGCACUAUGGAUAGUGUAAAAAUAUAGGAAGAAAAUUACCAAUAUAAAAAUAAACCAAAGAAAAGCAAGCAGAUUUUCCAAAUUAGGAAGAGAAUGCCUGGAAUAAUCAGCAUAGGCAAUCAGUAUCAUGCUUUAUUUAGACUGAGCCUUCAAUUAAAUAAAUGCUUUUCUCAGCAAAAGCAAAUGAGACUGUAAGAGAAUGAGAAAGCUAAAUUAGUGGAAUAUGAAUGACAUAAUAAAUAUGUAAUGAGUACAGUACAGACCUUUCUUCUCCCUUGCACUCUGUAGAGAUUUCAGGAAAAAAAGUAGUUCUGACUGGGCAACAAAAUUUAUUGCGUGGUCCAGAUUACCACCCUUAACGUGCUGAUUAAUGAACAAUUUUUAAAAAUAACUCCAGACACGAACCAAUGUUCACUGCAUUUCAUUUACGGAUUUAUGGCUCCCAGAACAGACUGCAGGUGAAGUUCAAAGCAAACAAGAGGAGGCAUUUCUUCACAGAGCACCAGCUGUGAAAUGGGAAACUCCUUUCCACUGUGAAAGCCCAGAGUUUUCAAAAGUCAACUCAACAAAUCCACAGAACCAGCCCUAAAUAGCACUGUACUGAUAAAACUAAUAUGAUUCAGUAAGUCGCUAAAAGAAAAAUUGUUGGAGAUUGGAAGAAUACUUGGAAGAAGUAUCAUUAUGAACUUUUCUGUCCUGUGCUACAGGGUUUGAGAAGGAGCAGCAGAGGAGUGGGCAACAGGGACCAUCAUUCUGGUCUAGUUACUCUGCUGUUACAUUAGCUAUUAAGUUUAAUGAUAAAACUAAGUUUAAAAUAGAAUUAUGCUUAUUUAAAAAUCGCAAGCUUCCCAGGCCAAACCUCUUGCUCAAAAACUGAAGAAAGGGUAUAUACUGGGAAAAACUGAACCUAUAUGAAUUCGUCCCCGAAACUGCAGGGGCUAGACAGGAACAGCACUAGAGCCAAAAUGGAAGCAAACAGAUGGAGAAGCAGUUCUGUAAGGAAACAACUGCGCUCAGUGAAAAACCUGAAUGUUAUCAACACUCCUUGGUACCCUUUCAGAGUUGUCAUGGGCAGGAGAACAAAAUCAAGUAUUAUCCAGGCACAGGGAGAUGCUACUGUAAGAGACUCAGGGUGUGUGUAUGUACCCACACACAUCUAUGUGUAGAUAUCCAUCCUGUUUAAAAAGGCAAUGUUUCUGGGCAAAUACAAUGAUUUAAGUCACAAGGACAAACUGAUCCUGAGCACCUCCCCUAGAGCAUCAGGCACAAACUGGCUUUUUUUCCUUCCUUUCACUUGCAGCAUACAGCAGCUUUUUAGAGUGCUGAACAGUGUGGUCGGUUCAACAGUAAUACCUGUUCUCAGAACAAUUUUGCACUCCAAAAUGAUGUUCUUUCAGCUUCCCUACAAGAGCACACAUUAACCAUAGCCAUUUUUUGCUGUACCUUUUUCCUCUCCCCUGGGCAGGUGGUGUAUAUCAUUUUUUCAAGACUUCAGUGCUACAAAGCGAAUGAUGAUAUUUAGUAGUCUUUGUAAACAAAAUCUCUCCUGUGGAAUUAAAUUGAUUUUUAUCUCAUUGCAAUUUGAGAAGUGCUCACAUCACCCCAUCUGCCAAGCAGGUGUUACAGAAGCAAACAAAGAUGUGAAAGCAUCAGUCACAGCAGUGCUAACAGGACUGUUCAGUGCUCAGGCAGUUCUCAGACCCUGAUCUCCAACAAACCCAGUCAGUUCCCUACAGUGGAACUCCAGUAAAAGGAAAUAUUCCCACUGGUAGGUGUCAGGGAACACCUUAAAUCAACCAUCACCAUUUGAAUCAACCUUAAAUAACCAUUAUAGAAUUAUUCUGUGCAGACCUUAUAAGCUCUGUAUUAUCCUACCUUCUUCAUCAGAGGUGUUGUGUAAUUAGAAUUACAGCUCAGCAACAUGAGCGUCUUAAUAAAAAAAUACCACAUUGUUGCCUGUUGUUAGCAAACACUACCCUAGAAAUGUGCAGGAAAACUUACUUAAAUCCACUUUAUAGAAUAAAAAAAUCCAGAGCUUGAUACAACUGGUGAAAUCCGUGGGUCUAUGUAAGUGGGAGACAAGCUAUUAGUCUGCAGUCUAUCUAUGACAAAAGUAGUUUUUUAUAGGACACCACUGAAUGCAGCUAUAUAGAGAAGGACCUUAGUCACACUUGUUUCUCCUAUAUAACCAGAGGAGAGGCAGCAGGCACAGCCAGAGGGUGACUCCAGAUCACCUAACGAGACUGCAGCUCUAAAUAAGCUGUUAGAGCUGCUCUCUGUAGAAGGUCACUCUGUGCUUCAGGUUUAUCUUUGUGAAUGCCUCUUGCGACCUUUCGGUGGAAUUUAUUUCUUGGUUUUGCUACAUUUUCCAUUUGAAAAUGAAGCUUUCUAAAAGAUCUGAUACAAAGCCCAGAUGAUCCCUGCUUGCCGUGUGCUCUAAGGAGUGAAAAGAAGGUAACCAAAACUACAGCCCAAUGGAGAAAACAGACGUCAAAAAUUUAUCAAAGAACAAACAUUACCUAAUCUCUCAUUAUGGAUUAUGCUAAAUAAUUGUAUUUUGCAGCAUCUCACUGCUGAAUUUCAGAAAAAAAUGUAUGUCUCUGUGUAUUUAUGUGCUAGAUGAUAUUCUCAUACUUAGGGAGCAGUCUUAAAAAACACCAUUCUUACACAGAUACACAAAAGAUAUUGAAACUGGUUACCUGUACCAUGAGCACAUAAUUUCAAGGUUGAAAGAGUUUGAGCUAAACACUGAAGUUGAGAGUAUUUAAAUCUAAAUUAUCUUAAAUACUGACAAAGCAACACAUAAGCAAGGACUGAGAUUACUCACUUGGUGUAUGGGCUUUGCCAAAAUCAAGGUCUCAAUGGCAGGAAGAAGAAAAUAUUACUCCCUUGUCAACUUUGAUUACACAACAAAGAAAAUAAUGAAACAUAACAUAUGUUGUCUGGUAAAUUUUAGAAACAACAGCUUUCAGCACUCCAUGCUUUAAUUUUGUACUCAAAUAUAUCUCAGCUGUGGAUGUUCAGAGAGCUGCUUCUCCCUUUAAUACCACUCUCCUGUCAAAACAUUCUAAGAGGAGCAGGUAGGUAUUACACUCUCUUAAUGAGUGAAGGUGUUAGAAGUUACAGCACCUGCAGUCACAAAUAUAAUAACAAAAAGACAUUUAAUAAAGUUAGGUUGUUACUUUUUCCUGUAUGUAUGAAUUUAAGUGCUUUCUACCACAUCUGAAAAAUUGCUUUGAAGUCAUCUUGAUGAAUUUAGAACUUUUUAAUUAAAAAAGCCGGAUGCUGCAGGGAUUUUCCUUUUAUUAUUUUAUGUCUCUUAUCUUGUGAUUCUCUCUCAGACUCGUAAGUCUCUCACCUAUGUACACCACCUGUAUUCUUCACAGCACUCUGAACCACAAAUUCUUUUAUCAACUUUGUCGGUGAAGAAACAGCUAGUAAUUUAGGUUUUAUUUGACAAAGGUCUUAAAACUAUUCAGACAUCUGCUUAAAUAUUUCACUUCAUUCUGGUCCUUAUUGUGUUAAGUUUCCGAAGAAAUUUCAGUGUGUUGGUGAUGGUUCUCAGGAUAAGAAGUCUUCAAAAGAUUGUCCAUAGCUCAGCAAAAAUACCGAUCUUUUUCUGGUCACAGAAAAAGUCUGUAAAGCCUAAUAAAAUUAUUAUUGAAUGAGAUCUGUAAGACAAAGUAUGUCUUCUACUGCAUAAACUGCUUAUUUAAAAACUAAUUUCUAAUGUUUAUCAAAGAAACAUGACACACAGGGCAGAUUUUGGGCUAGACCACCACCUGGAUUCCUUUUUUUCCCUUCAAAGCUACAAGCAAGCCUAUUUAUAUCAUUGCUAUAAAAUUCUUAAAAGCUGAAUAUGCAAUUCACGCAGCAGAGCAGACCUCACCACUGAGGAUGUUAGCUCAGCUCAUCCCCAGUACUCACACGCAGGCUUUUUUUCCUGUACUUAGCUUCUGCACAGAAAGGAGACGAACCUUACCAACUGGGGUUAAACAUUACACAAACAUGCUUUCACAAAUAUAUUCUCACUUAAAUGAUAAACUAUGUUCUCAACUGAGUUGACUUUCACUAUCACUGAAAUUGCUUUUUGAUGGACAAUGGUUGUUAUAAUGCAUUUAAAGAAAAAUGGGACUCGGAAGAUUUCUUAGACAUGCAGCUUACAAGUAUGGUUUAACUUUGCAUAGUAGUAAUACAGAUUUACAAGUGCCAUAUUUUCAAUUUAUAAAUAUUUAUCAUAAGGACAUGAUUUUAUCUUUAAUUAGCCCAACUGUUAAGGACACUUUUAAUGUGAGAAAUGUAAUUCAGUACUUUGUACCAGAUGUAGCCUCUACAGCUCGUCUUUUAUCUCUGCUUGUAAUGAGCGGAUACUUAAACCAAAAACAUUCUGUAAUGUGUAAGCGGUCAGAAGGGAGUCACUACAAAAGAUUUGGGCUCAGGAUUUAAAAUAAUCAUUUUCUGAAGUCGCAUACCUCACUCUGAAGAAGCUGUGCAAUGCUACCAUCCAUCCUUUCAGUACCAUUUUACUUUCUAUAAAAACCCAUAUGACUUUCUUGGUUUAUGAAAGGAUUGAAAUCCUUAGAUUUUUCUUCCUUUCCUCUCUCUCUCUCUAACCAGAUGCAUUACUGCUCCAUGUUUGACGCUAUGAACUUUAAAAGUAUAAGCGAGAAAACUGGGAUAGCUCCAGGUCUGAUCCUGGGUUAUCAUACAAUGCCCAUCUACUGACGUUGCAUUUCCAAAACCAAGCCCUAGAAUAUGCACAUUACAUUGAUUAAACUGAUUUUUUUUUUGUAAUUACACAACAAUCCUUCAGAGUGGUUGGAAACACUGCAAGACAGCAUCAUGCCAGGAUGCAAAGGGAGAGAUGCAGAACGAGAAAGCAGAAGGAAGGACGGGCUGGUGUCGGGCCAGGGGAUGGAGAAUAGUGGGGGACUCAUUAUAAAGGCAGCCUUGCCUUUUCCAGAAUAAAAAGCUGUACCAUACUUCUCAAUUAUGUGCUAUAAGCAGUUAACCUUCUUAAACAGCAGGUCAUAAAACAAAACAAAAGAAACCCCAACAAAUGCAAAGUAGGUUGGGGUUUCAUUAUCAAUAUUCUGCAUUUUAAUCCUCCAUUAAUAUAUGAACUGGGAGGAACCAAUUUUAUGUCCUACCAUGCUAACUGCCUCUUUGUAAUCUACUGAUAACAUUCUGUGGUCUUACAAAGACCGUUCUUCAAAGGAAUAAUAAAAUGGAAGCCAAAUGCACCCGUUACUAAGGAAACUCUGAGCCAACUUUUGAUGCAGCUCAUUUUUCCCAGCACUCUGAGUAACACUGAGCUGCUUGCUCUCUGUAUUCAUUUAAUUAGCACAUUUGAUUAUUGGAUUGCAAAUGUUACUUAUUGCCUCAGUGUUGUCUAAAACAGCAAGGAAAAGAUCAAUGUAUUAACAUAUUCAUGAAGGAAUCAAAUAACAGGCCAUUUGAGGAGGAUUUUUGGGUGGGAGCAAGGGGCACAGUGGGAAAUGAUGGAGAGAAGGAACGCAUGGGAUGUUCGCACAAAAAGAAGUUCAGAAUUUUUUUGCGAGAGUUGUCUUGUAUUCCUGGCUUCUCAUUCACUCUUCCCUCUCCCUUGAAGCCUGCAUGAGUUGUCUGAAAAAAGUUUUGACUUUUGAUUAACCCCCUGGAUACUCAUUAGGAGAAAGAGCCUGAAAUAUCCCUGUAAGAAGCAUGAUAACUUAACAAUGAUAAAUGUUACAGUGAUAACAUUUUGCAUAAUUUCUCUUCUCUUCUUCUGAUUAAUUAUAUUCCCAGUGCUGAGUGUUGUGAAAUGUUAGCAAGCCAUCUGGAUGUCAGAAAACUCUAGAACAGAACUGCUCUGGUUUCCACCCUAAUGCUCCUUUACUGGGAUAUGCCUGCAUGGUAGCGUCCUUCUGCUAACACGCUCUCUAAUGGACUACGAUGUGUUUUUACCAACAGUACAUAAGCAUUCAGCUGCCCAACUUUCCAAUAGAAAUAUUUCCCACUAUAUUAUCACUAGCACAAAAACGAACAGACAAAAAGACCAUAAUCAGAUACAGAGAAAAUGACACUCUGAUGCAGUGAUGGCAGGCUGGCAGGAAAUUCUGAGGGACUAGCACACUCCAGGAACAUGAAAGCAAUUAACGGGAAACAAUGGGAACAGCAUGGAGGAGUAGCUGCGUACUGUAUCUGUCUCCACGGCAUUCAAGUUUCAUCAAACAAAGCUAAGGGAUUUGGUACAAUAUUCUCGUUCAAAGCAUGUUCCACCUGCUUUCAUCCCAGAAAUGGCCCCUAUUAGGAUGGAUAAACAAAGGAUGGAUCUUAGCAAAGCAAGACUCUUUAACACUGAAUAAAUCUGGAGCACACUACACUCUUGGUUUAAAAUUGGCUCAGUGUGGGAGAAAACAACCUCCAAGGUAAUUCUGAAUUCUGUUUCUCUGUUUUAUGCAAAAUAAAUUCUGUAUUUUUCUCCUAUGGCAAUACCUGAUCUUCUAUUCCUUCAGUAGGAAAAAUUCAGGUUGUCUUGUAUAUACCAGCACUUGCAAAAUGGAAUCCUUGUUAUUUGUUUUAAAGAGUUUUUCACUUUCAGUUCUUUACUUUUCACUCAAAGUUUUGAAUUUCUUUUGCUGCAUUUGAGAGAUGAUUAGAUUCAGCUGGUAAUUUUGCCCUAAAAGUAACAACGAGGCUUAUAAUCUAAAUCUAAAAUUCCUUGAAAACAGUACCACGCAAGUUAAAUUUAUUUUUUUCUGGCAGCGUAAUGA